rnacentral:rRNA from 1 species
GUCUGUGUCUAUUACACUGAGGACCCACCUGUUCCCAUUCCGAACACAGAAGUUAAGCUCAGCUGUGCUGAAAAUACUUGGCGGGAAGCUGCCUGGGAAGAUAAGUCGGCGCAGACA